rnacentral:rRNA from 1 species
UGCAGUCGACGAGAAUCCUCUGCUUGCAGGGGAGAGUAAAGUGGCGCACGGGUGAKUAACGCGUGGGUAAUCUACCCUUGAAUUCAGAAUAACAUUUCGAAAGGAGUGCUAAUACUGGAUAACAUCCUUGUGAUUUUGAUUACAGGGAUCAAAGAUAGCCUCUACAUGUAAGCUAUUGUUCAGGGAUGAGCCCGCGUACCAUUAGCUAGUUGGUGGGGUAAGAGCCUACCAAGGCGACGAUGGUUAGCUGGUCUGAGAGGAUGAUCAGCCACACUGGAACUGGAACACGGUCCAGACUCCUACGGGAGGCAGCAGUGAGGAAUUUUGCGCAAUGGGGGAAACCCUGACGCASCAACGCCGCGUGAGUGAAGAAGGCUUUCGGGUCGUAAAGCUCUGUCAAGAGGGAAGAAAUUGGGGUGCAGUAAUCCUGCAUUUUAUUGACGGUACCUCUGAAGGAAGCACCGGCUAACUCCGUGCCAGCAGCCGCGGUAAUACGGGGGGUGCAAGCGUUAUUCGGAUUUAUUGGGCGUAAAGAGCGCGUAGGCGGUUUAUCAAGUCAGAUGUGAAAGCCCUGGGCUCAACCUGGGAAGUGCAUUUGAAACUAGUAGACUUGAGUAUGGGAGAGGGGGAGUGGAAUUCCUGGUGUAGAGGUGAAAUUCGUAGAUAUCAGGAGGAACACCGGUGGCGAAGGCGACUUCCUGGACCAAUACUGACGCUGAGGCGCGAAGGCGUGGGGAGCASACAGGAUUAGAUACCCUGGUAGUCCA